rnacentral:misc_RNA from 1 species
AACGCACAUUGCGCCCUUUGGUAUUCCAAAGGGCAUGCCUGUUCGAGCGUCAUUUGUACCCUCAAGCUUUGCUUGGUGUUGGGCGUCUUGUCUUUUUUUUUUAAAAAAAGACUCGCCUUAAAACGAUUGGCAGCCGGCCUCCUGGUUUCGCAGCGCAGCACAUUUUUGCGCUUGCAAUCAGCAAAAGAGGACGGCACUCCAUCAAGACUCCUUCUCACGUUUGACCUCGGAUCAGGUAGGGAUACCCGCUGAACUUAA